UCUCAAAGUUGGACCUACCUAAUCGGAC
rnacentral:piRNA from 1 species